GAGUAAUGAAGUGUAAAGUGCCAGAGU
rnacentral:piRNA from 1 species